CUUUGCAGACGACUUAAUACGCGACGGGGUAUUGUAAGUGGCAGAGUGGCCUUGCUGCCACGAUCCACUGAGAUUCAGCCCUUCGUCGCUCCGAUUCGU
rnacentral:ncRNA from 1 species